GGAAAGCCCCGCUCUAAUGGAGAUGGCAUCUUCUCCAGGGCUCUAUAGGGUGGAGAAGAUGAAGAAACCUGCACACAGCCCCCAUGAAGAUUCCAGUGUUGUGGCUGGGAAUCUCUGUCUCCCUUUAUGUUGGCUACAUGAAAAACGAGUGUUUGCUUACAGAGACCUGGUGGCCAUUAGAAGCAUCAUCCGAGGGUUCUCCAUAAACACGGUUAGCCUUCCAAGCUGCUGUCCUGCCAGUUGAUAUGAACGUGGCCUGUUCCUCACAGAAAGACUAACCCAUGGCACUGCAAGAAGAUAUCCUUGGAUCGUGGACAGAUUAACUGGAUUAACUGAAAAAAACACCCAUUCAGUCAAGAUUAUGGGUUUUGGAAAAAUCUUACUUUGCUGUGGAUUUAAAAUGAGGUGCAUAAUAUAAUGCCAACUCAUUCCAAGUGGUCAUUGGCAGACCAUUAGCUGGAAAAUUGCUUCCAGUUUUCAUCACUGUGCAUAACUCAAGUUCCCUUUGGGGAGCUAUCUGUGCCCUUCACUAGAAGUCCUGUUUUAGCAUGGCAACUACUGGAUUAUUUUAUUAUGUGUGCAGAUGGCAUGAUGUUUUAGAAAAAAAAAAUUACAGCAAUUCUGCAAUCUCAGUGGAAGUGUUCACAAUAUUAUGCCCUGGUAGGAAUGUAAACACGUCUCGAUUAUGUUAGUUAUGAUGUCUAAAGGUAUACUGUCCAACUCUUAAGCACUUUAUAUGAGAACACUACACCAAGAUGAAUCAGCACAUUCAGCACAUGUGAGAAAUCAAGUAUUUUCUUUUUAUUUUUAUAAAUCUUGGUGGUUUUUUUUUCUGGCUCAGACUGUCCAAGACAAACUCCACUACUCGCAUAUCCCCAGUUGUUUGUGGUAGGUUGAUGUAAAUAUGGCCACAAUACUGUUAGACUUCACCUCCAGAUACUUUAUUGAACAACUGGUUUACUUCUAGCACCAAAGGGAAGAAGAAGGGGGUCCAGUGAUGGUGAUAUCUUAGCUUGCUUCUUUGUUCACAGGCACUAUUGACCACAUGAACAUACAGGUACUCAAAUACAGGAGGCUUCUAUUUGGCUCCUCCAAGGGAGGAGUUCCUCCAAGGGAAAAAAGGGGAUGGUAUUCUUUUAAUCAAAGACCAUGGUGGAUGGAUGGUAAGGGCAACAGAAUGCAAUUCUUUUGUGUGGUCUGACGUUAACACUUCAGAAAAAAUUCUAAGUCAAGUUGAAAUCGCCAUUCUCUCAAGAGAGAAACAUCAAGUGACCCCACUAUGUGCCUAGAGAAGGAAAAGGGUCAAGUCCUAUACUAGGUUCCUUACUUAGUGUAGAACCUACUAGUCCCUUGUUAAUCCUUUCUGGGAUUAUGCCUGUGACUAAUUUUUUUUUUUAACUAUGUCUUACGACAAAGCACAGUCCUGGGAAACCAGUCAACUUAAUUGUUGCUUGUCUUUGAGCAUUAGAGACAUGUUCAUAUUGACUUGCUACAUAACACUGUAGCAUGUUUUUUCCUGAAAAUAUCAAGUUGGUUGAAUGGAAAGCUCAGCAAAGUAUGUUCUGUGUGCCCACUGUCCCAGCCUGGGACUGACGGGCAUCAGAGGCUUUGCUUUAAAAUAUGGGUAACCAGUUCUGGAAGACUUCCAACGCAAGCAAGCUUGGUGUUUUAGGGUGUCUCCAGAUACAUAAGCAUUGUCUGCCUCCGCUCAGGGUCUCAGGAAAUACACAGCCCAUUGGAAACCACCCCCGCCUGAGAUUUGGAAACCUGACGGAAAGGGAGGAAGGUCCAAAUGAGUCAGCAGCAGGAUGACUCACCACAAGCCUGGCAGGCUGCAGAGCCAGAGAAGGGGGCUUCCAACAAGGAACUCAGAGAAGUUGCAGUCACCACCAAGAUCUGGCCCUUCGGCAGGUCAGCACCAGGACUGCCAGGCCCUCUGCAGACCAUAAUUCUCUUCACAUCUAUAAUUAGGAGGCCAAACUCCAGCUGCCAACACCCUUGGACACAAUAUUCCAGUCUCCACUGCCCAUCUCAUGUGGUUCAGUUCUAAUAGCAGGUCUUCUUCUUCCUUUCAUUCCUUCCUUUAUUCAGCAAGCAUUUGUUGAGCAGCUACUAUGUGCCAAGCAUUGUGCUUGGGCAACAACAGUCCACAAAGCAGACUCCCCACCUGCCCUUAUGAAACUGUAUCUCCUCCUCCCAAACAUUAUCACCACCCCACCAUUUCCACAAUGAAAACAUAAUUCAGCCAGCAUUCUCCAUUCUGCCAGAGUAACCUAGGAAGAAGAACAUGGCAGCAGACGGAUCCUCAGGGAGGAGGCAGCAGAGUGACAGAUGGUAAACUGCAUCAGGCCACAUAUUUGCACCUUUCAGAUACAGCCAACUCUUCCAGGGCCUAGACUGAGCUGGUUGGAGCUCCCCAAAGCAGCAUUCGGUUGCUUUUCCUUGAUAUCCACCCUGGCUACCUAUAUUCCCUUUCUUUAUAUAGGCACAACCAUUCACCACUACGCUGGAUUAUCUAACACUCCAAUUCUAUAACUCAUCCAGGGGACACACAGUUGAGUCUGAUGAAGCCUAAGAACUGCCAGGUGCUGAGAUAUUGUAACUGGGAAUUAAGAUUUAGCCAAGGACAUUGUGAGACUACUGCUGACUCUCUUGGAAAACUGGACAUGCUUUGUAGUGCAAAUGUUCACUAAAUGAUGGUGGUUCAUUGUUACUUACUUUGGCCUUUGCAAAAUAUUCUGAACAAUUCAAUAAGUAGAGUUUCCUAGUUUGUUUGUUUGUUUUUUUAAGCCAAAGGAACGCUGUGAAAUUACUGAAAGAUGUUGGGUGAAGAGGGACCUAGGAGAAGGCAAAAUGAAGACCAUUAAAGAGCCCCAUUGAAGACUGUAUCUCUAAAAAUGCCUUAAUGCCUGGCACAUAUUCCAUAUUUGCAUAUGAACUACUAUUCUUUUCCAAACUGUCAACCUCUGUUUGAAAUCAUUGUGGGGGAUAGUUUGGAAACCUGGUGGCAUAAAAUCCAAGCAGUCAAGAGCUAAACCAGCAAAAAAGAGGAAUGACUUCAUUCGCAGGCUUUGGCUUCUUUAUUAUGUGGUGGUCCUCUGUGAUCUCCCACGGUUAACUUCAACUGUGCUGUACUUUCUUCCCAAGAUGCAUGUACGGAAUGUUACCUCCUAGAAAUCCAGAAAUAGUUGUGGUGAGUUUUGUUUGGUAGGAAGCAAGAGGUGGGGAAGUAAAGGAUACAUAUUUUUAUGUCUAAGGACUGUAAACUGUUGAUGCUUGACUUUUCCUUUUACCUACACCUGUGCUACACCUUUAUUAAAAGGCUGACACCCAGACUUGUGCAGGAAAGGCACUCUUGGGAAUGAACAGAAAUGAAUAAUUAUGAGACUUUCCGUGCUGCCAAGGGGAUUCGCUUAUUUCCACUCCAGAACUGAAUAUGCAGAGCAUUGCCAGUCCUGCUAGUGUGAAAAGCAAAUUACUUCAAUAGUUUGAGACGUACCUAGGGGAAGAGAGAUCCUAUCAACUUUCUUUGCGGGUAGUGGCGUACCUUCAAAUCCUUGCUCAGGCUCUGUGAGGUGUGCACCCGCAGAUUUCACUUCUACCUCCGGAAUCCUGGCAAACAAGCCAGAAAUCUCUCCAGAGUCACUUCGCAGUUGCUCAGAAAGAGGCUAACGGUCCUUAGUCCUGAGGAAAUUCUGCCAUUUUUAACAUUCAAGGAGAAAAGCCGUAUCAGCUGUUCGUGAGAAUACCAACUAAGGAUAAAAACUUCUGAUGGAUCCCCCUUGUUACUUGCAAAUGCUUUCUUUGUCUGCAAAUGUCACAUAAUUGAUUUUGGAUAGGAACAACAAAAGUCUCAAGGAAGUGAAGUUUUUAAUGCCCCCCUUGGCACUUUACUUUCAUCAAAACCUCCUCUUUCUAGUACAUGAGCAGUUUUGUUCUUUGUGAUGUUUUCCUCUACAUUCUUCAGAAUAAUUUUGUUACUUGACAACUAGACUUGUCAAUCGUCUUAGACUCUUUUUAAAAAUCUAAUCUUUGAAAAUGACACAAAUUCCUUUAUUGCUUUAAGGCUGUUUUUAUUCACCCCUCCCACAGCCCCCUCCACUGCACUUUUUUGUUUUUUGCGGGGAUUUUUUUCUUUCAUCUCUCUUCUUUUAACAUGACGCUGUGGGUAGUUUUCAAGAAUUCUAUAAAGAACUCAACAAAAAGUAUAUUCGUUACCUUUUUUCCCCAGUCCUAAUAUUUCUUCUUAAGCUUGAUCUUGGUGAAAACUUGUUGCCCAAAAAGCAGUGAGGUAGGGAUUAAUAACGCUGACCAGUCAUCUGGAAGAUUAAUUAAUCCCAGUGCAGCCCUGAGAUCAGGAAGGAGGACAGGCCAGGAGAUGUUUCUACUCCAGGCACCACUAAGGACUCUAUUUCAGAGGCAGAUCCUGCUCCUUAGUCUUUUUAGAUCUGAAUCUAAUCCUGAAUCCAGAAAAUUAUCCUAUGAAUUCUGGUUUAUCAACGCACGUGAUUCCUGGCACCACUGCAUAGCUUCAAGGUAAAAGAGAGCCUUGUUUCCAUUAUUUUGCUAUGGUGGCUUUUGGGAAGACAGAGAGCAUUCUUUUGAAAGCGGGAAACUUAAGGAAAAGUUGGCCAAGUGCACAGGAAAGUUCUACCACACCUUAAUGUAAAGAACAAAAUAGAUGCUUCUCAUUUGGGGAAAAUAGCUAAAAGGACAGUAACAGUACUGAUGGCCUUCUGGCCAUCACCUUAGCUCCACAGGGAAAAUUCUGGGUGAGAGCAAGCACUGUUUCUAAAAUCUAAAUUUUUUCAGGUGAAAUUUACCAGCAACAAAUGUAAAAGGGAACUGCCAUCAGGCAUAGGGCUAGUUUUAUACUUCCUGCCUAAUGGCAAAAUGACUGAGACAUGACUUCCAUGGAACAGCAGAAAAUGGAUGCCAAAGAUGUCAUAAAACUGAAGUUCAGUUUGCCACGUAAGGCUAUUUAAAAACCCUGAUGCACUCCAAGCACUCUUCCUUCAGAGCUUUCCUCCUACAAUUAUAUCAAGCACAAGAAGGCACCAACAGCAUAUACUUAAUGUAAUGUAAAAGUAACCAUAUGACUUGUGUUGAAUUACCAUUGGCUGGUUGACAUAAGUGUCAUAGAUAUUUAGACAUUAU
rnacentral:lncRNA from 1 species